rnacentral:rRNA from 1 species
GACGAACGCUGGCGGCGUGCUUAACACAUGCAAGUCGAACGGAAAGGCCCUGCUUUUGUGGGGUGCUCGAGUGGCGAACGGGUGAGUAACACGUGAGUAACCUGCCCUUGACUUUGGGAUAACUUCAGGAAACUGGGGCUAAUACCGGAUAGGAGCUCCUGCUGCAUGGUGGGGGUUGGAAAGUUUCGGCGGUUGGGGAUGGACUCGCGGCUUAUCAGCUUGUUGGUGGGGUAGUGGCUUACCAAGGCUUUGACGGGUAGCCGGCCUGAGAGGGUGACCGGCCACAUUGGGACUGAGAUACGGACCAGACUCCUACGGGAGGCAGCAGUGGGGAGUAUUGCACAAUGGGCGGAAGCCUGAUGCAGCAACGCCGCGUGCGGGAUGACGGGCUUCGGGUUGUAAACCGCUUUCGCCUGUGACGAAGCGUGAGUGACGGUAAUGGGUAAAGAAGCACCGGCUAACUACGUG